rnacentral:rRNA from 1 species
UACGUAGGGGGCAAGCGUUGUCCGGAUUUACUGGGCGUAGAGAGCGUGUAGGCGGCCAAACAGGUCCGUUGUGAAAACUGGAGGCUCAACCUCCAGACGUCGACGGAAACCGUAUGGCUAGAGUCCGGAAGAGGAGAGUGGAAUUCCUGGUGUAGCGGUGAAAUGCGCAGAUAUCAGGAAGAACACCUAUGGCGAAGGCAGCUCUCUGGGACGGUACUGACGCUGAGACGCGAAAGCGUGGGGAGCGAACAGG